UUGAGAUUCAAAUAUAUGAAAGACACUUAUGAAACGAAUUUAUUGAGUUACUCAUUUACUUUAUCCCAAUGCUGCCGUAUUUGAAAUUAUUUAUUUAUUUUUGUUGUGUUCAUACUAUUAUGUUCCAUUGAAGGCUGGAUAAUGAUCUCGCAUAGAAAAUAUACAUUAAAGCCAACGUAACUCGAAAAGUCAUUGCUCCUUUUGCUGAACAGACGAGAUUUGAUAAAAUUUUGAUAUAUUCAAAACAGGUUGGGUACAGUCCAGAUUAACUAUUCCUUCGUUCAGAUCCUCAAGGAGCUGUUAACUUUGCGGUAAUGAUGUCUCAAAUGGAGGGAGGUUGUCGAGUUGAUUACAAUACCGUAACAGAUCUCUUUCUCCAGGUUUGUUGUCUCUAAUGACUUUUGAGUUGGUAUAUUAAUGUAAUAAUAAGGACGUGUGAUUUUCCAUUGUUAUUGCUUUAAUUUUUUAAUAUUGGCAGGCUUCAUAAGGGUAAAUUGAUUUUCAUUUUUGCUUUCAAUUCUUUGUGGUUUUAAUAGAAGAACCUGAUCCGUGAGGCAACGACUUUUCUAUUAGUGUACAUCAUAUCAAACCAACAGCUCAAAUAAACACCUAGUGUUAGUAAUUGUGCAUGACCUCAUCUGAUAGGAUAAUUCUGUAUGCUUGAGAAUUUAUAUAGGGCUCCACGUAAGACACCUUGGAAUUGUCCUCUUAAGUUGGAAUAGGAUGGGGGCUUACGGUCUUUUAACUCCAAAUAUUCUGCAUGCACAAGUGUGUCAAUUGCAAGUGUAUUUGCCGUUUGCCUCCUCUGGUUGAAACCAUAUGAGACUUUUAAUUUUUGAAAGAUGAUUUCCUCCUUUUUUUUUUCGAAGUGUCUCGUUAAGCUCAGUGAACUUUGUUUACGUUAGAUAG